GACAGAGGCCCCAAGCGUUAGGCGGAAUCACUGGGCUUAAAGCGUGUGUAGGCGGAUCGUUAAGUGUCUUGUGAAAUCCCACGGCUCACCCGUGGAACUGCUGGGCAUACUGGCGAUCUUGGGCCAACUAGGGGCAGUCGGAACAAGCGGUGGAGCGGUGAAAUGCGUAGAUAUCGGUAGGAACACCAGUGGCACAGGCGGUCUCCUGGGGUCUCCUUGACGCUGAGGCGCGAAAGCUGGGGGAGCGAACAGG
rnacentral:rRNA from 1 species